rnacentral:rRNA from 1 species
UAGAGGGUGGUAGAAUUUCAGGUGUAGCGGUGAAAUGCGUAGAGAUCUGAAGGAAUACCGAUGGCGAAGGCAGCCACCUGGGUCAAUACUGACGCUCAUGUACGAAAGCGUGGGGAGCAAACGGGAUUAGAUACCCCGGUAGUCCACGCCGUAAACGAUGUCUACUAGGAGCUGGGGUCUUCGGACAACUUUUCCAAAGCUAACGCAUUAAGUAGACCGCCUGGGGAGUACGGCCGCAAGGUUAAAACUCAAAUGAAUUGACGGGGGCCCGCACAAGCGGUGGAGCAUGUGGUUUAAUUCGAUGCAACGCGAAGAACCUUACCUGGCCUUGACAUGUACGGAAGGCUUUAGAGAUAGAGCUGUGCCUUCGGGAACCGUAACACAGGUGCUGCAUGGCUGUCG